rnacentral:tRNA from 1 species
GGAAGGAUGAUCUUGUGGUUAAGAUCCUGGACUGGGGCUCAAGUGAUCUGGGUUAACUUUCCAGCCUUUCCA